rnacentral:rRNA from 1 species
GUCCACGCUGUAAACGAUGCGUGCUAGACGUUGGCAGGCCUAGCCUGUCGGUGUCGCAGCUAACGCGUUAAGCACGCCGCCUGGGAGUACGGCCGCAAGGUUAAACUCAAAGGAAUUGACGGGGCCCGCACAAGCGGUGGAGCAUGUGGUUUAAUUCGAUGCAACGCGCAGAACCUUACCAGGCCUUGACAUGGGGAGUAUGGGGUUGUGAAAGCAGCUCCUUCAGUUCGGCUGGCUCCCACACAGGUGCUGCAUGGCUGUCGU